rnacentral:lncRNA from 1 species
GUAGGAUGGAUCUAUCUGCAGUGACUACUGGUGCUGGGGAAUUGCUUGAAGACGAGAAAUGGCCAUUUAUGAUAAAGAAACAAAAUAUGAGAAUUCCAAGAUGAGGCAGUUAGGAAGGAUGGACUUGUGCUUAGUAACUAUGGAUGGUGUGGAAUUGUCUGAAAAUGAGUUAGUCAUGGAUGAUACCGAAACAAAAUUCCUAGGAUGGACUUGUGCUUAGUAACUAUGGAUGGUGUGGAAAGGUCUGAAAAUCACAGUUAGUCGUGGAUGAUACCGAAACAAAAUAGGAGAAUUCCAAGUAAGAUAGACCCAUCUGCAGUCACUACGGAUGCUGUGGAAUUGCCUGAAGAUGAGAGAUAGCCAUUUAUGAUACCGAAACGAAAUAUGAGAAUUCCAAGGUGAAUUUCUUAGCAGUAGGAUGGAUCCAUCUGCAGUGACUACUGGUGCUGGGGAAUUGCAUGAAGAUGAGGGUUGGC